GAUGAACGCUGGCGGCGUGCCUAAUACAUGCAAGUCGAGCGAACAGACGAGGAGCUUGCUCCUCUGACGUUAGCGGCGGACGGGUGAGUAACACGUGGAUAACCUACCUAUAAGACUGGGAUAACUUCGGGAAACCGGAGCUAAUACCGGAUAAUAUAUUGAACCGCAUGGUUCAAUAGUGAAAGACGGCUUUGCUGUCACUUAUAGAUGGAUCUGCGCCGCAUUAGCUAGUUGGUAAGGUAACGGCCUACCAAGGCAACGAUGCGUAGCCGACCUGAGAGGGGGAUCGGCCACACGAGAGGUGAGACAGGGACCAUGCGCCUGAGGGAGGGAGCAGUCGGGUAUCUUACGCAAUAGGCGAGAACAUGGCAGAGCGACGGCGCGUGAGUGGUAGAGAUCUUGGGAUCGUAAAACUCUGUUAUUAGGGGUGAACCACUGUGUAAGUAGCUGAGCACGUCUUGACGGUACCUAAUCAGGAAGCAACGGCUAACUACGUG
rnacentral:rRNA from 1 species